GAAUUCGCCCUUAGAGUUUGAUUUUGGCUCAAGAUGAACGCUGGCGGCGUGCCUAACACAUGCAAGUCGAGCGAAGCGCUUUUCUUAGAUUCUUCGGAUGAAGAGGAUUGUGACUGAGCGGCGGACGGGUGAGUAACGCGUGGGUAACCUGCCUCAUACAGGGGGAUAACAGUUAGAAAUGACUGCUAAUACCGCAUAAGACCACAGCACCGCAUGGUGCAGGGGUAAAAACUCCGGUGGUAUGAGAUGGACCCGCGUCUGAUUAGCUAGUUGGUAAGGUAACGGCUUACCAAGGCGACGAUCAGUAGCCGACCUGAGAGGGUGACCGGCCACAUUGGGACUGAGACACGGCCCAAACUCCUACGGGAGGCAGCAGUGGGGAAUAUUGCACAAUGGGGGAAACCCUGAUGCAGCGACGCCGCGUGAGCGAAGAAGUAUUUCGGUAUGUAAAGCUCUAUCAGCAGGGAAGAAUUAGGACGGUACCUGACUAAGAAGCACCGGCUAAAUACGUGCCAGCAGCCGCGGUAAUACGUAUGGUGCAAGCGUUAUCCGGAUUUACUGGGUGUAAAGGGAGCGUAGACGGAUGGGCAAGUCUGAUGUGAAAACCCGGGGCUCAACCCCGGGACUGCAUUGGAAACUGUUCAUCUAGAGUGCUGGAGAGGUAAGUGGAAUUCCUAGUGUAGCGGUGAAAUGCGUAGAUAUUAGGAGGAACACCAGUGGCGAAGGCGGCUUACUGGACAGUAACUGACGUUGAGGCUCGAAAGCGUGGGGAGCAAACAAAAUUAGAUACCCUGGUAGUCCACGCCGUAAACGA
rnacentral:rRNA from 1 species